CCUACGGGAGGCAGCAGUGAGGAAUAUUGGUCAAUGGACGAGAGUCUGAACCAGCCAAGUAGCGUGAAUGAUGACUGCCCUAUGGGUUGUAAACUUCUUUUAUAUGGGAAUAAAAUGUACAACGUGUGGGAUUUUGUAUGUACCAUAUGAAUAAGGAUCGGCUAACCCAGUGCCAGCAGCCGAGGUAAUACGGAGGAUCCGGGCGUUAGCCGGAUUUAUUGGGUUUAAAGGGAGCGUAGGUGGAUUGUUAAGUCAGUUGUGAAAGUUUGCGGCUCAACCGUGAAAUUGCAGUUGAUACUGGCAGUCUUGAGUACAGUAGAGGUGGGCGGAAUUCGUGGUGUAGCGGUGAAAUGCUUAGAUAUCACGAAGAACGCCGAUGGCGAAGGCAGCUCACUGGACUGCAACUGACACUGAGGCGCGAAAGCGUGGGUAUCAAACAGGAUUAGAUACCCUAGUAGUC
rnacentral:rRNA from 1 species